rnacentral:lncRNA from 10 species
CCCACUGGUUCAGACAGAAGCCUCUGGGAGAGCCCUCCAGAGUCCACCUUGAAGGCUUCAUUCCUUCUACCCAGAGCAUCUCCGUGGAGAGGAAGAAAAAGCAUCAACGAAAUGAGGUGCCCCAGCGGUUCUGGGGAGCAAUUCCUCUCUUCAUAUGACCAUUUGGGAAACCCCCAGUGAGAUGGAGUGUGCUUUUAAGCCAUGAAAACCAUGCACAUCAGCCCCACCACAGAGCCUGUGUGAUUUCAUCUUAGAUGGUAUCUUGGAAGCAAGACCUACCUGGACUUUUUAGAAAUCUAAUCUAAUCAUUUUCUGUCUUGGAGUAGAACUUUUAUCUGGCGGCACCAUCACCCUGGGAGACUCCAAAACAGAAAACCAGACAGACAGUGGUUACAAAAUAAAAGACCUGUGUUUGCAGAGGAGUAGUCGACUAUGUCAUUGUUAUUCCCAAAGAUGGAAGGCAGAAUCAUCAGAAAUUACAGUGACAGGGGUUCCUGCUCGGUAGUAUGCCGAAAAGGGAGUUGAAAGGCACAAGUGCGGACAAGAGGAUCAAUCAAAGCUCCGUUCUGUUCCCAAUCCUUCCAGUCCCGAUGCUCCAGAGAGCAGGGGAGGCACCUGUACACAGGUACUGGGCAUGACUGAUGAGGCAGUGCCCAGGAGCCCAACUUCCUCGAAGCGAGAGAAAGGACAGAGAUGCUAAGAUCUGCACACUUCCACAUUUUAGAGAAUUUGGGAGACCCAUGUUGGAUGUGGACCGUGGUUCUUAUUGGUAUUAUUUUCUGAGUGGUAGAUGUGCUUAAUCCCAGCACCUGCCUAAACUGAUGACAACAGCGGCUUUCCUACUGGAAGGACAUUGCCACUUGAUAGCAUAUGCUGUACCUCGCUUGCAUGUCCCUGCUUCCAAGCUUUGGGGAUUUCUAGGAUUGUUUUCUCCUAGUUUCCUUGUGUCACGUGGGCUCCUUUAUAAAAUAUCCCCAUAUAAUAGUGCAUGAUGUGCUCUAUUACAAAACACAAAUGUGUCUGUCCAAGACAGCCUGGGGGCAGCGAGCUGGGGCGUGGCAAGGAGACCAACUGGAAUGACGGGAGAGCCCUAGUGGAUGCACAGUGCACCGCUCUUACACCACAAGCCUCCCGCCCCAGCAUGAUUUAACCCGUGAAGAAAGCAGAGCAUUUAAUAUGUUCUACAGAUGUUUUAAAAAAGGAAUAACGGCGCUUGUCCCAAGUGUGGGAUGGAGGCACACACUCUUCUGAGAUGUGAAGCAAAUUUCAUAUCUCAAAAGAGAAAAAGGACAACAGUUCCUGCUCAGUCACCAAGUCUGAUUCUCAACCCUGGAACGCCUCAGCCUGCCUGAGCCCAGAAAUGAGGCUCCUUGUGAACACUAUGGAAAUGCAAUGGCUGUUUUGAUUUUCCAUAAUGGACAGCACACUGGUCCAGGAGGCAUAUCCAAUCUAAAUGAACUAGCAUCUGUGAAACUUCCUAGCACAGUCCCAGCACAUCGCAGGAGCUGAACUAAUGUUCUUUUCCCUUCCCAAGGAACCCUGAAGCCUUUGAAGGAACCGUGAUUGGGAAGGCAUCAGCAUUUGCUUUUCGCUGGUAUAAAUUUGGACCACUGGUCUGCCCGGGGUGUCCCCUGCCAGUGGUCGUGGACUGCUAGGGAAGCACAGCACACCCCCCAACACCCCCCCGCAAGGAAGACCCCUCAUUGCCCACCAAUGUCCUCUUUCUGGCGUCCCUCACGUUCCUGGCCGAGACCCUCCGUUCAGUCACGCCAUGAGGUCAGGGCCACGGUUGCCAUUGUCUGCUGGAAGCCAGUGCAGCACUUGGAGCUUAGAAGAUGCACACAACUCUUUGUUAAAGAACAAAGAAAUGGGAGAAACUUUUUAAAAGAAAAUAAACAGAGAGAAAGAGGGUGAGACGAAGACUGUGGCUGAGGCUUUGUUUUCAGGCCGAAAGCAGGACACUCAGCUCAUUCUCAAUGAAACUUCAACAUCGAUAAUUCAAAUGUCUUAGAAAUUGUACAUUGGAAGGGGAAAUAAAAUGAUUUUUCAGCUCUUUUAGGCUUACAGAUACCUAAAUGAAGCAUAGAUUGUAGAAUGUUGUUCAGAAGGGAAUUAAAUUUGGAUUUCAUCCUUCCCAGGGACUGGGGGCACUGCUUGUCACUUUGACUCAAAUGGAGAGUCCCUGCCACUGCUUGCUUGCCUUCAUCUGACCACACUGUGCUAAGCGCCCAGCCCCAGGGUAUAGCUGAGCCCUGCACCAGCUGCAGUGAACCGCUUGGCCGGGUGCCCUCUUAGAUCCUCCCUGCCCUGUUCCCUGGCUCUCUGUCCCCUGCGGUCCUCUUCUCUAGGACUGUUGAAACUUCUCCGCAUCUGGUCAGCUUCACACAAAAGGGCUCCUAUUUUACAGGCUGAGAGCCCCUUCCUGUGUGUUGUCAAAACUGACACAUCGCAUUGCUUAGGUUUAAUCUUCAGGUACUUUUUCUGUUUUUUUACCUAUAAAAUUAAUAUAAGCAUAUGCUCCCGUAAUCAACACAAUUUAGAUAAAGCAAGAGUUCCUCUGGGCCCUCCCACUUCCAUUUGCAUUUUCUUUUCUGUGGACUAACUGGUCAUCUUCUUUAUCCACUUGUCUAUGAGGUUGUUGAUCUUGGUCUUUUUUCUUAUUAACAGAUAGGAAUUCUUCAUAGAGCCUAGAUAACAAUCCAGAAUUCAUGUGUAUACGCACGCAUUUAUCUAUAUGUAUAUGUAUAAGCACAUUACACACAUACAUUUGCACACAUACAAAUGUUAGAAAUAUCUUCUCCAACUCUGUUGCUUGUCUUUUAUCUCAGCUUAUAGAGGUUUCCGAUUUUGAAUCAGAAGUUUCACAUUUCAUUGAAGGUAGACAUCACUCUUUCUCUAUUUGCUUUUGUGAUUUGUGUCUUGCUCAAGGCCUUCCCUGUCCUACCCCCAUGUCAAAAGCAUGUUCUCCACUAUUUUCUUUCAGUCCUUAAUCUUUCUUCCGUAGGUAGCCAAUGUCCAGCACGUUUGGUAAUGACACCUCCUCGGUGAAGCGCAAGGCCACCUUGACCCCAGCUCCCAUGGGUCUGUCUUCAGGGGAAUUUUGAGGUUGUUUUUGCUGCAGGGUGUCAGGAACUCCUUCCUCUCUGAUUCUUGGAAAAGUUUACUGUUUGCUGCUGGCUUUGUGGUCUCUCCUCCCUGUGCAGGUAGGGUGUGGAGGGUAAUCAGAGUCAGUCCAGAGGUUGCUCAAAGUUUCAGUUUAUCUCCAGCCACUAUUUGCUAACUCAUCUGAGAAUUCUGCCAAGAUAAACAUCAGACAGACCCUCCUAUGGUUCAAUCAGUCUGCUCCUGGGAAAAUUAGGACAUGUGUCUGCCCGGCUCUGCUGGUGUUCCUGAGAGUGACUGGUCUCUGUGUGACCUUUCAUUGGCCAGGCUCCCCCAAGGGAAACGUCCACCAGCAGAAAAAGUAGGAAAAAAAUCCCUUUAUGCAGAGAAAAUACACUGCAGAAACAAACAUAGUCUAACCCUGCCUUUUAAAACAUAGCUUUUAGACUGAAAGAGUUCACCCUUCCUCUCUCCACCUGGUCACUCUUGGGAUGACAAUUUCAAAUCCCACAUAACAUUCACAGUGUGUUAUUCCCAUGCAAUUACCUUGUUAGGUUUCAUACAUUUAGAACACGGAGGGGGACAGGGGAUGCUUCUCCGCAGUCUCUUCGUUAUUGGGACAUACUCCAACGCUCAGACAGCUCCACAAUGCACCUUUCUCCCACUCUUCAUUCCUUUUCUGGCAACACUCUUUCUCUCUCAGAGGAUUUUAAAAACAUGUCUUGUUACAAAAAGCAAAGAAUGACAGUUGCUUCAGAAAAAUACCCAACUGAAAGAUCCACUCCCUGACCAUGGAGAGCUCACUACAGAUCUAGAAACGCGAGGCAGAGACUUGAAGAUGCUGCACACAUCCUGUGUGGGAGUGGGAGAAAAGCUGCUGCUUCCUUAGCAUUAAAACAGACAGGGUCAUUUCAGCCUUGCAGGGGAUGACCAGCCCUCACUGGAAUUAUGUGAUGGCAUCACAUUUGCUCCUCAUGUAAACAUUCCAGCGGGAGAACGACUGCUCCCUGAAGACACUCAUGGUGUGAUAAACAGCAGUCAGUGGAAUCAAGGCAGGGGCGAGGUCCUCUUCCUUCUGCCUCCUUCUCACCAUGGCACCUUGAGAGAGGCCCUUUGUCCCUCGGGUUUUUCCAUUUUCUCAUUUGCAAAAUGAAGAGGAUCCCAUCUACACCGUCGUGUUUAGAAAUGACACAAGAUCACAAAAACCUCUGCCGCCUCGAAGAUACAGAAUUGCUGGUGAGGCUCGUUGUCUGAGAGCCGGGCUCUGCUCCCCUCGGGGCCAAGUCUACCAAUUGUUCUUUGGAAAACAAAAGCUGGAGGCAUUAAAACUGGGCUGUUCCAAGUGUUCUUUACGUUUUAUAAAUUUUAUAAGGUGAAACUCAAUAUUUAGAUGAUUGGUAGAAACGUCUCUUGGGGGCUUUAUGGUUUUCUAACAUAGAGUGGGGGGACAUGUUACCUCGGCAGGAGCAUGUGGGCUGAGAGGAGGGAACCACAUCAGGGAGGCCGGUGACUGGAGAGGGAAGUCCUCCUCCUGUGGAGGGCCUGGCCCUCAUGGAUUCCCCACUUCCAGGCAACUUUGUGACCUCAGAGAAGCUAACCUGAUGUGCAUGCUACUGACGUUGCCCAUGCCGCUCCUGCUGGCUGAUGGAACUAUCUGUCUGGAGUCUGUGGAUGGCAGACCUCCUGAUUGUGUGGAGCGUGAGUUUUUCGAAAGAGAUCUCUCACUUUCAUCCAGGCUGGAGUGUAGUGGCACACACCACCACACCAGGAUAAUUCUU